GAGUUUGAUCGUGGCUCAGGACAAACGCUGGCGGCGUGCCUAACACAUGCAAGUCGAGCGGGGAUAUGGAGGAGCUUGCUCCGAGAUAUUCUAGCGGCGGACGGGUGAGUAACGCGUGAGCAACCUGCCUUUCACAGGGGGAUAACGCAUCGAAAGAUGUGCUAAUACCGCGUAAGACCACGGUGUCGCAUGACACAGGGGUCAAAGGAGCAAUCCGGUGAGAGAUGGGCUCGCGUCCGAUUAGCUAGUUGGUGAGAUAACAGCCCACCAAGGCGACGAUCAGUAGCCGGACUGAGAGGUUGGCCGGCCACAUUGGGACUGAGACACGGCCCAGACUCCUACGGGA
rnacentral:rRNA from 1 species